UUGCUAUGAUGACUUUUUUUUGUUAUGAUAUUUGGAAAGUUAUAGAUGCUUGAUGAUACGUCGGCAAUUACGUCGAUCCUGAGCGGUUACCUGAGCAA